rnacentral:rRNA from 1 species
CUUGGGAGCAUGUGCACGCCUUGUCAUCUUUAUAUCUCCACCUGUGCACCCUUUGUAGACCUUCCCAGGUCUAUGUUGCUUCAUUUACCCCAAUGUAUGUUAAUAGAAUGUUGUGACUAUAAAAAUCUAUACAACUUUCAGCAACGGAUCUCUUGGCUCUCGCAUCGAUGAAGAACGCAGCGAAAUGCGAUAAGUAAUGUGAAUUGCAGAAUUCAGUGAAUCAUCGAAUCUUUGAACGCACCUUGCGCUCCUUGGUAUUCCGAGGAGCAUGCCUGUUUGAGUGUCAUUAAUAUAUAUCAACCUCUCUUUUUUGAGUGGCUUGGAUGUGGGGGGGUUUUGCUGGCCUGUUCAGCUCCUCUGAAAUACAUUAGCAGAACAAACCUGUUCAUUGGUGUGAUAACUAUCUACGCUAUUGAAUGUGAGGGGCAGUUCAGCUUUCCAACAGUCCUUGGACAACUUAUCAUUUAUGUGACCUCAAAUCAGGUAGGACUACCCGCUGAACUUAAGCAUAUCAAUAAGCGGAGGAAAAGAAACUAACAAGGAUUCCCCUAGUAACUGCGAGUGAAGCGGGAAAAGCUCAAAUUUAAAAUCUGGCGGUCUUUUGGCUGUCCGAGUUGUAAUCUAGAGAAGU